rnacentral:rRNA from 1 species
GAUGAACGCUGACAGAAUGCUUAACACAUGCAAGUCAACUUGAACUUCGGUUUGGGUGGCGGCCGGGUGAGUAACGCGUAAAGAACUUGCCUCACAGAUAGGGACAACAUUUGGAAACGAAUGCUAAUACCUGAUAUUAUGAUUAUAUGGCAUCGUAUAAUUAUGAAAGCUAUAUGCGCUGUGAGAGGGCUUUGCGUCCCAUUAGCUAGUUGGAGAGGUAACGGCUCACCAAGGCGAUGAUGGGUAGCCGGCCUGAGAGGGUGAUCGGCCACAAGGGGACUGAGACACGGCCCAUACGCCUCCGGCCGGAAGCGGUGCAGAAUGUUGGACAAUGGACCAAGAGUCUGAUCCAGCAAUUCUGUGUGCACGAUGAAGUUUUUCGGAAUGUAAAGUGCUUUCAGUUGGGAAGAAAAAAAUGACGGUACCAACAGAAGAAGUGACGGCUAAAUACGUG